UACAGAGGUGGCAAGCGUUGUUCGGAAUUACUGGGCGUAAAGGGCGCGUAGGCGGUUCGUUAAGUCCUGUGUGAAAUCCCCCGGCUCAACUGGGGAACUGCACAGGAAACUAGCGGGCUUGAGUUCGGGAGAGGGAAGCGGAAUUUCGGGUGUAGCGGUGAAAUGCGCAGAUAUCCGAAGGAACACCGGUGGCGAAGGCGGCUUCCUGGACCGACACUGACGCUGAGGCGCGAAAGCUAGGGGAGCAAACGGG
rnacentral:rRNA from 1 species